GUUUUGCAGGCCGUCACCGGUCGGCUCCUCUUAAAUGCAUUAGCGGAACUCUAUGCAGUACCAGCCUCGGUUUGAUAAUCCUAUCUAUGCUGUCGCUGUUGGACUGUGCUGUUUGGCUUACAACCGUCUUCGGACUGUCGCUUUUGUGGCAUAACUUUAAGCUUGAUCUCAAAUCAGGUAGGACUACCCGCUGAACUUAA
rnacentral:misc_RNA from 1 species